CCAGGGGUGAAGGGUGACUCUGGAAUCCCAGGAGACAAAGGAGAUCAAGGUGAUCCGGGUCAGCCUGGUGGAGACGGGGCCUCUGGGAUGAAAGGACAGAAGGGGGAAGAAGGCCAGAGAGGACCACCAGGACCGGUGAGGAGUACAUUGUUGUGGCGUUAAUGUUUCCUGUGACUGUUUAUAACUGAGACAUAAAGUCAUAUUAUCUAAGAGACUGUU